rnacentral:rRNA from 1 species
GACGAACCGUCCGAACGUUAUUCGGAAUCACUGGGCUUAAAGGGUGCGUAGGCGGCGCGGAAAGUUGGGUGUGAAAUCCCUCGGCUCAACCGAGGAACUGCGCCCAAUACUACCGUGCUCGAGGGAGAUAGAGGUGAGCGGAACUUAGGGUGGAGCGGUGAAAUGCGUUGAUAUCCUAAGGAACACCGGUGGCGAAAGCGGCUCACUGGAUCUCCUCUGACGCUGAGGCGCGAAAGCGUGGGGAGCAAACAGG